CGGGAUGUAGCUCAGCUUGGUAGAGCGCUGCGUUCGGGACGCAGAGGUCGUGGGUUCGAAUCCCGCCAUCCCGA
rnacentral:tRNA from 1 species